CUUUUCAGUUCUGUCUUCCUGAGGCUGCUGUUUCUGGGCAUGGCCAGGGGAUCUUCAGACUUUACAAACCAGUUGUGCAGAGCCAGGCAUUUCAAUAAGGAACAAAAUGCUGAGUAACAACAUGAAGUCAGAGUGUUGCUUGCCAAGAGCUGGGAGGCCUGGGUGGUUUCCCAAUCUUAAAGAAGCAGAAGGAUAUUAAAGUGAGCCUCCCAAAGGAAAACGUGGAUCUACUUACCAACGCAGAAAAUGAUACACACGGAUUCGAUUUAGGCACGCUACAUUCAAAUGACUUGGAAGAGCAGGUUCUCUGAGCCAGGAUACUAAAGUCCCUGUUUAGGAAAGAGCCACGUUGUAUGUUUACCCUACCACAAAGAUACAGUGCUGGCAGAGGAAACAGCAGCAAUGAUGCUCUGCGAGCCUGACUCAGGGCCAGCAGUGAUGGCAGCCCAAGAAUUCUGGAGGAAAGUGGCUCUGGGAAUUGAACAGUGGCUCAGUGAUGUUGGGGCCACCAAGUCUGCAAUUCUCCCUACCUGUUCUUCAUGGUUGUAAGAUGACUGCUGCAAUUCUCGGCAUCAUGUGCAUGUUA
rnacentral:lncRNA from 1 species